AGGGUUUGUCCCAUCCCGCCGCGCACACACCCUGUUGCAUCUUUAAAGCGUGUUCGUGGGGAGACUUGCUUUCUCUCCAUGAAAGAAACUUGGCUCUUACAGUCUGUCUUUGUCAGGCCACAUCAUCAGUUUUCAUCAUCAUUUUGGCUGCUUUCCCCAUCAGUACAGUCACUUUUGGGGAGGUUUUUCUCGAGCCACAAGACCCCAGACAGGUCUUGGCGGUGCGGAGGGGUGGUGGGGAGUGACCGUGCUUUCACACUGUGCUUGCCGUGCGGAGACCGCGAUUAGCUGCGCUCUGUAAAAGCGCUGGGGCUUGAUGAGAAGGUUCUUGCAUGUAAUACACCUCUCAAAGCGGCCUGGCCAAAAAUCAGGGGCUGCGGGGACAUUGGAGCGCCGGUGUUCGUGGAGUGGAGAAAGCGGGGAGCUGUGAGAUGGGGCAGGAACGGGCUCUGCGGGGUGAGGGCAGAGGAAAAUCUGAGAGGGGAGAGAGAACUGUCCAAAUGGAGAGACAAGGCAUUUUAUAAGGACUUUAUGCUUUACUGCCUGUAUAUGCCAGCAUUGAGGAAGAGCCUGGAAGUUCACCCAUGUCCUGAGUUCCCUCAACGUGACUUUCUUCUGAUGCUCACGCAUGCUUGUCCUCUCCUCUCUGAGAUCCUGAUAUAAAGUGUUUUCAUCAUCCCUUGCCACGUUUUUGUCUUGAUUGAGCUCUGAGAAAGAAGAAAUCUCUCUUGGCUCUGAAGUCUGUCCCCUCAGUUGACCAGAUUUUCCUUCUUUUCCCCACGCCGUAAAGCAGAGAUGCUGUUGCAGACCACAAAGGGGUGAUGUCUGCCACACGUGCUGUAUCUACAAGCGUCUCUUACGGGCAGAGCAACUCUACCGCCCCCCACCCAGCACGGCGGGCGCAGCAGACCCCGUUGCAACACUGAUCGUUAACAUGUAACUCAUGUUGUGCUGCUUUAAAACCACAGCUUCCCUCCUCAGCUUUGCUUCCGAACCACAGAGACUGUUACAGUCUGUGGGAGGGCAGGAAACAGUUGGGGAAAUAUUCUGGGGCUUUUUACAUGUGCUUUGCUCUGAUGUAAAAGCUGGCAAGAGGAGGAGCAGUUUGUUGUCCAGUCAUAUGUGGUAUACAUCCACCUUCUACAGCCACAGGUGACCUAGCCUAGACUCUUCCUAACCAGCUGAUUUUACACCGUCAAAAGGAAAUACAAGCUACAUAUGUGAAUCUAAUUUUUUAGGAGCUCUGGGUGAACUGUGAAUCCCGCAGCUGUUUCCAGGAGUGACAAGCACAGCCUUUUCACUUUCCCAAAGAAAGGAGAGCUUCCUGUGCUCUAAAAAUUGCCUCAUCAAAAUUGUGGAGGUCAAAGCAUAUCAAGAAGAUAUUGGGUUCUUUUGCUAAAGAAAAAAAAAAAGAGGGAAAAUAGAAUGCUUCUCUUUAAAGCUCACCUCUUGCUGAAGUUUCUCUCUGCUGUGUGCUGCUCUGGGACUUCUCAUUAUUUCUCAUCAUCAAUCAAUUAUUCUCCCCAGUGAACCAGCUCAUCCACUCAUCUUCACCUCCCUGAAAUUUCCCAGUGAGGUUAGAAACAGCAAAUUGCUAUAAUAUUAAGUAAUAAACCCCAACCUUUUUAUGACUUGGCUGUUGAUCAUUUUUCUCUAGUGGAUACCAAUAAAAUAGAAAGAGCUCCCUUGAACAGCACAUCUGAGAAGCUGGAAUGCUUUUAAGUGCGACAGGUUAGAAGAGGUCUUUAGAGAUAAUCUCCACUGCUCUUUAAAAUUAACUCCUUGGGGAAAUCCUAAGUAGUUCUUCAUAAUUAGAAACUUCAUAAUUGGAUGCAGCGGAGUUACAACUACUUCACUGUCCCUGUUGUUGAAACAGCCUUCUGUUACACUGAAGGCUGGGUAAGCCUGACUGCUUCCAUGUCUUCCUUUUCUGUUCGUGGAAAACCUCUGAUGCCAAGGAGGAUAAUUUCUCCUAGAUUUACUGUAAAGCCCUGUUGAGUCAGAUCAAGUCUUCACCUACGUAACUACUUGUUGUGUAGAAUUUUAUCAAUCUCCCUCCUCCAGUCUGUUAUCUGUUCAUGAAAAUAGUUCCUAAUGAGAGGAUAAUAUCCUGCAGGAAGGGUUUACUGCAAGAGUCAGCAUGGCAGGGAGGGGACACAGGUAACAUGGGCCUUAAUCUUCUCCUUCUCCCUGUCUAUCCUUCUUUGGCAUCUUCCAAUGAAGACUCACAUGCAGCACAGUUUCCAGAUCUGCAGCAGGGCUGGAUCCACCCUUGCUUGUGUUUGCUGUCCAUUAGUGACAUUCCAUGAUCAUGGCAUGUGUACUGUACCAUAAAAUAUGUAGUGAGAAAUGUAUAGCAGAGAAAUGAAUGAGAAAUAUAUUUCUCAGUAAAAAUAUAUUCUGAGUAAAUAUUUUCUGCAUGUUAUCUAAGAGAUACAGAGUGCAAAUAGCCUUCUGAGAACCUCAUGAAGAAGAUAUUUGGGAGCAGUCAUGAUGGAUUUGCCAAAGGAAAAUCAUGCCCAAGUAACUUGAUUACCUUCAAUGGAUUCCAUUUGUAGUUUCUGAGAUGAAGGAAUGACAACAAAGAUGGGAAAGGGCUGUUUAAAUUUAGCUAAGUAAAAUGCUAAUUAAAAAUCAAGACAAUAAAAAAUAAAUGCUGUGUGGA